GAAUCCCUAAAUCUAAUAUUCUAUUACAUGAUUAUUAUAUAGUAUUAAAUUAAAAAUUAAAAUAUAUAGAGCAUGAACUACAUGUUGAUCAUAUCAACAUGUUUCUAUACUACAUCUAAUGUAUGUAUUAAACAAUAGAUCAGAUCUAUUACCUUGCAAGUUAGACAUUCUAACCUCGCUGAUCCAGGUUUGAGGAUGAUGUUGCAAGCCACAC
rnacentral:lncRNA from 1 species